UAAAAGGACUAGAGAUGUUGGCCAACAAAGGAACUUAGCUGCCUAUAUAUUGUGAUAUUCAUGCAUCCUUUCCACAAGGAAACGUGGCGUUUGAGUUGAUAAAGAGACGCCUCCUCAGUUUUCUUAUACUUUUGACCCUAUUUCUUGCAUGGAGCUUGUUUGUUACCGGUGAAAAGACGGAGAAGUUAACCUUUGCAAGAGACGAGAAAAAAUUAUAUGGAGCCAUGAGUGCAAAACAUAUUAAAGGCCAACCUUUCAACUUUGCAAAACUAGAGGAGCAGCCACCACCAAUAAGGAAGCAAACGCUAACAUCAAGACUAUCAGGGCGAGGACCUGCUCGACCACCGCCACCAUCUCCUGUUAGUUCUCCAGGGCAUACCCCGUAGGCCUUCACUGUUAUUGCAUGUAUUAAACACUCUUAAUGUCAUCAAUAAGGCCAAUACCAGAAUUAAUAAAACUUGUUUAAUGUGAA